rnacentral:rRNA from 1 species
UACGUAGGUGGCAAGCGUUGUCCGGAAUUAUUGGGCGUAAAGCGCGCGCAGGCGGUCCUUUAAGUCUGAUGUGAAAGCCCACGGCUCAACCGUGGAGGGUCAUUGGAAACUGGAGGACUUGAGUACAGAAGAGGAAGCGGAAUUCCACGUGUAGCGGUGAAAUGCGUAGAGAUGUGGAGGAACACCAGUGGCGAAGGCGCUUUCUGGUCUGUAACUGACGCUGAGGCGCGAAAGCGUGGGGAGCAAACAGG